CACAAAACUAGAGAUGCACGAUAAAUAGGUAAGCAUAUGGGAAUGGGCCGUUAUUAGCUAAAAAUGCCAACAUUGGAAAAUCUAGUUUAACGCCGAUGUGCAAAACCGAUGUCAAAGCUGACGUGCAUACCUAUACAACGUAGGUAGAUGACGUGCAUACCUAUACAACGUAGGUAGAUGACGUGCAUACCUAUACAACGUAGGUAGAUGACGUGCAUACCUAUACAACGUAGGUAGAUGACGUGCAUACCUAUACAACGUAGGUAGAUGACGUGCAUACCUAUACAACGUAGGUAGAUGACGUGCAUACCUAUACAACGUAGGUAGAUGACGUGCAUACCUAUACAACGUAGGUAGAUGACGUGCAUACCUAUACAACGUAGGUAGAUGACGUGCAUACCUAUACAACGUAGGUAGAUGACGUGCAUACCUAUACAACGUAGGUAGAUGACGUGCAUACCUAUACAACGUAGGUAGAUGACGUGCAUACCUAUACAACGUAGGUAGAUGACGUGCAUACCUAUAUAACGUAGGUAGAUGACGUGCAUACGUAGAUGACGUGCAUACCUAUAUAACAUAGGUAGAUGUCGUGCAUACCUAUACAACGUAGGUAGAUGACGUAAUGACGCCACGAAAAACACAGCGCUACAGGUGCAACACGGCGUUCCUAACCGAGCCCACAAUGUCUGCCGUGUGGAUCUAUUUUGGUGUUUCGAAGGAAGAUAACAAAAAGGCCAUCUGCAACGUUUGUGCUGCUGUUAUUUCCCGAGGAGGAGAGAAAGUGAAAUCUUUCAAUACCACAAACCUAAUUACUCAUUUGAAAGUGCAUCACCCCCCCCAGACGUUCAGCGACUACUUCGGGAAAAAAGCUGAAUAAAAACAAAAGUGCACACUUCCAACAACUAAACAAGUUCAAGUCGAGCAGUCAUUUGAAAGAGCAAGAACAUUUCAGCGAGACAACUCAAAGGUGAAAUCCAUUAAUGCCAAGAUAAUGAAAUUCAUUGCCCUUGACAGCCCAGGUACACACCACCAAGUAGCCAAUAUUUUUCAGAUGUUGCCCUACCGGAGUUACAGUAUUGUCGAAACUCACCUCCAUGAGCUACUUGCUAUGAGCGUCACUCUUAUUAGCUUCACUACCGACAUUUGGACGAGCGAUGUCAGCCCCAUGAGCAUGCUGAGUCUGACAGCACAGUGGGUCAAUGAGGAUUUCGUACUGAGCAAAGCCGUAUUGCAUGCUCAAGAAUGUCCUGGUUCUCUACCCCUGUUGUCAUUUCAAUGGCAUUUGAGAACAUGUUUGAAACUUGGAAUCAUGAACACACUCCUAGCUCCAUUCGAACAACUGACUCGAGAAAUAAGCUCAUCAAACUGCAGCAGACGUGAUGUCGUGGCAUUGAAACUCCUGCUCCACAAAACUGCAGACAGACCGUGGGAUGCAAACUUGAGGCUGUGAACAAGCGAUUAGGUGUCAUUCUCUCUGAGCCUCUUCACUGUGUCGCCACCAUGCUCGAUGCUAGGUAGAAGUACCGCUACUUCGACGCAGACAAGAAACGGGGUUUACGUGAAAUGUUACAUACACAGCUGGACAAGAUGGAAAUGGACACAGUGACAGUGCCCACCGAGGAAGAGAGGCCACAGACGGACAGACUGAGCUGAAACUUCACUGCUUGACAUGUAUGAUAAUCCUGGUUGAGAAUGAAACGACAGAACAAACUAACAACGAAACAGCACAGCAAGUAAGUGAAAGAAAUAGGUUUUGAUUAUGUUUCACUGGUAAUGGAGACAUACGUGAAUGCCAAAAAAAUUACUUUUUGGUUAGUGUGUGUGUUUCAACUAUUUAACUGUACUAGAAUGCUUAAAAGGCCACUAAAGUAUUACAUAUCGGUAUCGGGGUUUUUUGGCAAGGAAAAUAUUGGAUCUCAGUAUCUGCCAAAAAUGUAGUAUCAGUGUAUCCCUACAAAUAACUAUUGUGAGCGUAAAGAAGUUAAACAAAAUUCUCUGUCAUGCGCACGCACACACACACACACACACACACACACACACACACACACACACACA